rnacentral:sRNA from 1 species
GCUGGGUGUGGUGGCUCACACCUGUAAUCCCAGCACUUUGGAGGCCGAGGCAGGAGGCUCACUUGAGCUCAGGAGUUUGAGACCAGCCUGGGCAUCAUGGCAAGACCUCAUCUCUAUUAAAAAUAAAAAUAAAUUAGCCGGGUAUGGUGGUGCAUGCCUGUAGUCCCAGCUUCUUUGGAGGCUGAGGCAGGAGGAUCACUUAAGCCUCGGAAGUUGAGGCUGCCAUGAGCCAUGAUUGUGCCACUGUAUUUCAGCCUGGGCAACAGAGCAAGACCCUGUAUCA